rnacentral:lncRNA from 1 species
UCAGAAUGGUGAUGAUCGUGCUGGUGGCCGUGUUGGUCAACAUGGUGAUGGUCGGGGUGGUUGCCUUGGUCAAUGUGGUGAUGAUCAUGGUGGUUGAGUUGGUCCACAUGGUGAUGAUCUUGGUGGCUGUGUUGGUCAACAUGGUGAUGGUCGUGGUGGCUGUGUUGGUCAACAUGGUGAUGGUCGUGGUGGCUGUGUUGGUCGACCUUGUGAUGAUCUCGGUGUUUAUGUUGGUCAGCAUGGUGAUGAUCAUGGUGGUGGUGAUUGUGGCCAGUGCAUGGAACACUUUUACUUUCAACGCCUUCUUUACCG